CUGAAUUAAACAGUUGUUGCUCUGAUGUUGUAGCAGCUUGGCAGGAGUAAGGGCAAGUAUUUUUUUUGGACAUGGGUAAAACCCAGAACCCAAAUUUCCUCCCACACCACCCACCUCCAAACUUAUUCAUUCCUCCCUCUUUACUACACAUGCAACGCCCUCCCUCACCCAAAAUUAGCCUCUCAUGAAAAAAGAAAACAGCAGCAAUAAAGAGGUAGCUAUGAUGGCGAAGUUGCUCAAGAUACCGGUUCCGAUAUAACUUAAUCUGAAUGAAAACAGAGCUGUUACUUCUUCAGAUUCAACUCUACUACUUAUAUUCUUUUCAAGGGUGCUACCAAACAGCUUCUUUCUGUAGGAUGUUGAAUAAGGAUUGCGGCAGAUUGGUGCCUCAAUUCUUCCAAUUUCGUAGCUACAUGUGCCAAGGCAUUUCUUUCUCUAGGAAUCCAGCAAGAUUUGAGUUAACGAAUACUCUUGCUGCCAAACUAGUGAGGAAUCUUUUCAUGUGAUCCCUGAACACUGCUGCAAUUGCACCUAAUGAUGCAUCCACAUUAGCUUUAACCCAAUUUGUAGGUAUUUUCUGGCUGAAAUUGAGGAGCUUGAGUAAAAGUCUGAUUCAGAGACAGAGAAAGGACUACAGAUGCUGUCAGGAUCUGACCUCUGUGCACUCAAAGAGGCUUUUCUGAAGCUACAGAAGUCCAAAUGGCACAAUCUCAAUAGAUAUAGAAAGCUAACAUUCAGGGAUUUCCAGAAAUAUAGAAUAGCUCAUACUUUACUUUGGAAAUGAAGGCCCAAAACUGGCGUUCAACGCCAGCCACCUACCCUAUUCCUAGCAUUGGAUGCCCAAAAGGGAGCAGCUGGUGUUCAACGCCCAAAAGGGGGUCCCAUGCCAGCGUUCAAUGCUCCUAAGGAGUCCUAGCACAUGGAGACACCCUUUGCUCAGCCCAAACACUCACCAAGUGGGUCCGAAAAGUAAAUUUUUGCACUACAAGACUAGUUUAUCUUAUUUUUAUAAUUUUUAGUCAUUGGAUUAGUAUAUAUAGGAGAAGAUCACCCAUGUUUAGGAUCUUCUACCUCAACUCUUACCCACUUUUAUGUUUUACAUCACUUUUCUGUAAGCAUGAGUCACUAACAUCCUAAGG